AUUUCGGUCAGGGAUGAGCUCGCGGCCUAUCAGCUUGUUGGUGAGGUAAUGGCUCACCAAGGCGUCGACGGGUAGCCGGCCUGAGAGGGUGACCGGCCACACUGGGACUGAGACACGGCCCAGACUCCUACGGGAGGCAGCAGUGGGGAAUAUUGCACAAUGGGCGCAAGCCUGAUGCAGCAACGCCGCGUGAGGGAUGACGGCCUUCGGGUUGUAAACCUCUUUUAGCAGGGAAGAAGCGAAAGUGACGGUACCUGCAGAAAAAGCGCCGGCUAACUACGUGCCAGCAGCCGCGGUAAUACGUAGGGCGCAAGCGUUAUCCGGAAUUAUUGGGCGUAAAGAGCUCGUAGGCGGUCUGUCGCGUCUGCUGUGAAAACCCGAGGCUCAACCUCGGGCCUGCAGUGGGUACGGGCAGACUAGAGUGCGGUGGGGGAGAUUGGAAUUCCUGGUGUAGCGGUGGAAUGCGCAGAUAUCAGGAGGAACACCGAUGGCGAAGGCAGAUCUCUGGGCCGUAACUGACGCUGAGGAGCGAAAGGGUGGGGAGCAAACAGGCUUAGAU
rnacentral:rRNA from 1 species